GAUGAACGCUGGCGGCGUGCCUAAUACAUGCAAGUCGAGCGAACAGAUGAGGAGCUUGCUCCUCUGACGUUAGCGGCGGACGGGUGAGUAACACGUGGAUAACCUACCUAUAAGACUGGGAUAACUUCGGGAAACCGGAGCUAAUACCGGAUAAUAUAUUGAACCGCAUGGUUCAAUAGUGAAAGACGGUUUUGCUGUCACUUAUAGAUGGAUCCGCGCCGCAUUAGCUAGUUGGUAAGGUAACGGCUUACCAAGGCAACGAUGCGUAGCCGACCUGAGAGGGUGAUCGGCCACACUGGAACUGAGACACGGUCCAGACUCCUACGGGAGGCAGCAGUAGGGAAUCUUCCGCAAUGGGCGAAAGCCUGACGGAGCAACGCCGCGUGGGUGAUGAAGGUCUUCGGAUCGUAAAACUCUGUUAUUGGGGAAGAACAAAUGUGUAAGUAACUAUGCACGUCUUGACGGUACCUAAUCAGAAAGCCACGGCUAACUACGUG
rnacentral:rRNA from 1 species